UGGCUUAUGUUAGCGAGCGGCUGGCUGAUGUUAGUGAGCGGCUGGCUUAUGUUAGCGAGCGGCUGGCUUAUGUUAGCGAGCGGCUGGCUUAUGUUAGCGAGCGGCUGGCUUAUGUUAGCGAGCGGUUGGCUGAUGUUAGCGAGCGGUUGGCUUAUGUUAGCGAGCGGUUGGCUGAUGUUAGCGAGCGGCUGGCUUAUGUUAGCGAGCGGUUGGCUGAUGUUCAUGAGAGGUUGGCUGAUGUUAGCGAGCGGUUGGCUUAUGUUAGCGAGCGGUUGGCUGAUGUUAGCGAGCGGCUGGCUUAUGUUAGCGAGCGGCUGGCUUAUGUUAGCGAGCG